rnacentral:rRNA from 1 species
AGAGUUUGAUCAUGGCUCAGAUUGAACGCUGGCGGCAGGCCUAACACAUGCAAGUCGAACGGUAACAGGAAGCAGCUUGCUGCUUUGCUGACGAGUGGCGGACGGGUGAGUAAUGUCUGGGAAACUGCCUGAUGGAGGGGGAUAACUACUGGAAACGGUAGCUAAUACCGCAUAACGUCGCAAGACCAAAGAGGGGGACCUUCGGGCCUCUUGCCAUCGGAUGUGCCCAGAUGGGAUUAGCUAGUAGGUGGGGUAACGGCUCACCUAGGCGACGAUCCCUAGCUGGUCUGAGAGGAUGACCAGCCACACUGGAACUGAGACACGGUCCAGACUCCUACGGGAGGCAGCAGUGGGGAAUAUUGCACAAUGGGCGCAAGCCUGAUGCAGCCAUGCCGCGUGUAUGAAGAAGGCCUUCGGGUUGUAAAGUACUUUCAGCGGGGAGGAAGGCGAUAAGGUUAAUAACCUUGUCGAUUGACGUUACCCGCAGAAGAAGCACCGGCUAACUCCGUGCCAGCAGCCGCGGUAAUACGGAGGGUGCAAGCGUUAAUCGGAAUUACUGGGCGUAAAGCGCACGCAGGCGGUCUGUCAAGUCGGAUGUGAAAUCCCCGGGCUCAACCUGGGAACUGCAUUCGAAACUGGCAGGCUAGAGUCUUGUAGAGGGGGGUAGAAUUCCAGGUGUAGCGGUGAAAUGCGUAGAGAUCUGGAGGAAUACCGGUGGCGAAGGCGGCCCCCUGGACAAAGACUGACGCUCAGGUGCGAAAGCGUGGGGAGCAAACAGGAUUAGAUACCCUGGUAGUCCACGCCGUAAACGAUGUCGACUUGGAGGUUGUGCCCUUGAGGCGUGGCUUCCGGAGCUAACGCGUUAAGUCGACCGCCUGGGGAGUACGGCCGCAAGGUUAAAACUCAAAUGAAUUGACGGGGGCCCGCACAAGCGGUGGAGCAUGUGGUUUAAUUCGAUGCAACGCGAAGAACCUUACCUACUCUUGACAUCCAGAGAACUUUCCAGAGAUGGAUUGGUGCCUUCGGGAACUCUGAGACAGGUGCUGCAUGGCUGUCGUCAGCUCGUGUUGUGAAAUGUUGGGUUAAGUCCCGCAACGAGCGCAACCCUUAUCCUUUGUUGCCAGCGGUCCGGCCGGGAACUCAAAGGAGACUGCCAGUGAUAAACUGGAGGAAGGUGGGGAUGACGCCAAGUCAUCAUGGCCCUUACGAGUAGGGCUACACACGUGCUACAAUGGCGCAUACAAAGAGAAGCGACCUCGCGAGAGCAAGCGGACCUCAUAAAGUGCGUCGUAGUCCGGAUUGGAGUCUGCAACUCGACUCCAUGAAGUCGGAAUCGCUAGUAAUCGUGGAUCAGAAUGCCACGGUGAAUACGUUCCCGGGCCUUGUACACACCGCCCGUCACACCAUGGGAGUGGGUUGCAAAAGAAGUAGGUAGCUUAACCUUCGGGAGGGCGCUUACCACUUUGUGAUUCAUGACUGGGGUGAAGUCGUAACAAGGUAACC